rnacentral:rRNA from 1 species
GACGAACGCUGGCGGCGUGCUUAACACAUGCAAGUCGAACGGAAAGGCCCUGCUUUUGUGGGGUGCUCGAGUGGCGAACGGGUGAGUAACACGUGAGUAACCUGCCCUUGACUGUGGGAUAACUUCAGGAAACUGGGGCUAAUACCGGAUAGGAGCUCCUGCUGCAUGGUGGGGGUUGGAAAGUUUCGGCGGUUGGGGCUGGACUCGCGGCUUAUCAGCUUGUUGGUGGGGUAGUGGCGUACCAAGGGUUUGACGGGUAGCCGGCCUGGGAGGGUGACCGGCCACAUUGGGACUGCGAUACGGACCAGAAUCCUACGGGAGGCAGCAGUGGGGAAUAUUGCACAAUGGGCGGAAGCCUGAUGCAGCAACGCCGCGUGCGGGAUGACGGCCUUCGGGUUGUAAACCGCUUUCGCCUGUGACGAAGCGUGAGUGACGGUAAUGGGUAAAGAAGCACCGGCUAACUACGUG